GGACCAUAUCACCUUGAAACACCGGUUCUUGUACGACCACCGAAGUUAAGCAACGUCGAGCCUGCUCAGUACCUAGGUGGGUGACCGCUUUGGAAUGCCAAAUGUUGUAAG